rnacentral:rRNA from 1 species
UACGAAGGGGGCUAGCGUUGCUCGGAAUUACUGGGCGUAAAGCGCACGUAGGCGGCUUCUAAGUCGGGGUGAAAUCCUGGAGCUCAACUCCAGAACUGCCUUCGAUACUGGAAGCUUGAGUCCGGGAGAGGUGAGUGGAACUGCGAGUGUAGAGGUGAAAUUCGUAGAUAUUCGCAAGAACACCAGUGGCGAAGGCGGCUCACUGGCCCGGUACUGACGCUGAGGUGCGAAAGCGUGGGGAGCAAGCAGGAGUAAGAUACCGAGACGUCC